AGGUCAGGCUGGCCUUGAAUUCACUAUGCAGCCCAGGCUGGGCUCGGCCUCAAAUUCAUGGCAAUCCUCCUACCUCAGCCUCCUGAGUGCUGGGAUUCAAGGUGCACACCACGACGCCCGGCCAUAAACUGAUUUUUUAAAGAAUGUCUCCAUUUCUUCCAUCUAAUCUGACAGAUUUAUUCACAUACAGGUGUUCUUAAUGUCUUCCUAUUUUCCUUUUCAUAUCUGUAGGAUCUGUGGUGAUAGCUCAGUUUUCAUGAUAAUAUUGACACUUUGUGUAUUCUCUCUCACAGCCUUUUUUUUCCCCCUUUUUGGUUUUUUGAGACAGGGUCUCACUAUGUAGUCCAGACUGGCUUUGAACUCACAAUGUAGCCAAGGCUGGUCUCAAACUUGCAGCAAUCAUCCUGCCUCAGCCUUCCAAAUGCUGGGAUUACAGGACACAGACUCUUGAUCAGCAGACGCCGUGCUUUCCGGGGGCAUCCUGUUGAUCAGGGACUGGCAGGCAGAAAAACUCAGAGGUGUGAGCUCCAGUGCAGAGAGGCCCCUGAUUACUGGGGUGAAGGAGGCUGGGCGGAGCUCCUCCCCCCAGACUCUGUGUCUAAUCGCUGUGGACACAACUCUGGCUUCUUCCUCCUCUGAGACGUCUGAGUUCUGCUUGUCCCUAAAAAAAGCAGUUUAUUUAAGCAAAAUUCCUAACUUCAAAAAGGAACUAAAUAUAACAUAUAUAAUUAUGUUGACAGAAAUAAAUGCUAAAAUGCAAAAAUGGCAAGUGAUGAACAUUAAAUAGAAAAUAUUACUAUGGAGCAGAUGGAAAUUGUGACAGAGUAGAUGAACUUUGUUCAGAGCAGAUAACACUCAUUUCAAAAUGAAGUUAUUUCCUCUGUCGUAAGAAAGCACAACUAGAGAUCAAGACUUCAGGAAAUGUGUCCUGACAACCCAAAGACAUGAAAGUGUAGGAAAGAAACAGAAACAAUGAUUCUGGAAAUGAAAGCUGAGAAUUGAAAGUAACACAAAGGAACUUGGAAUUGUGGCAUCUGCCUGUGAUCCUGGCACUGGGGAGGCUGAGGCAGGAAGGUUGCCAUGCAUUCAAGGCCAGCAUGGGCUACAUAGUGAGUUCAAGGCCAGCUUGAAUUACACAGUGAAACCUUGUCUCAAAGAACAAAAAUGAAGCAAAACAAAACCAAACAUGUAUUUUUUUUCAAGAAAUCUGCCCCAAAAUAAAGAGGACUUCAAUAGA